ensembl:snoRNA SNORA71 Small nucleolar RNA SNORA71
UCCUGCAUUAAAAAGUGAUUUUGUAAUGCCUAUGCCAUGGUCAUUGUUACUAUAGGGAGAAGAUGCCAAAAGCCUUUCCCUGUGUUUGGAAGGUCCAUUCCUUCCUGUCCUUGCUAAAUCCUGGUGCUUUUGAACA